AGCCUCCACCAGCUCCCCUGCAAAAGUCCAGUGAUGCAGACGUAAUGGAUGUUGGCUCUGGUGGUGUUGGACAGUCAGA
rnacentral:pre_miRNA from 1 species